rnacentral:lncRNA from 1 species
AGCAGGCGGCCAUGACGCCCAGCGGCAGCGCGAAGCCCAGGACCACCUGCGCCACGGCGCUUGCCCCCUUCACCGUCUGCGUGAGGCCCUCGGGAAAGAUGAGACGGCAGCGCCGCUGGCCUUCCCGCUGACCAUCCUGGCUGAAAAGGAGAGCAGGCAGCGCGAGAAGCAGCGACAGCAGCCAUACGAUGGCUGAGACCACGUGUGCGCGGCCUGGCGCAGAGGGCCUCGGUCCUGCGGGGAGGGCCCGCGCGAUGGCCACAUAGCGAUCGGCGCUGAUACAGGCCAGGAAGAGGAAGCCAGCGUGGAAGGAGGCUGAGUAGAGGCCCGAGAUGGCGCGGCACGUGGCACUUCCCAGACUCCAGCCCUGCAGAGCCCCGGCUGCGGCGAAGGGCAGGGUUAGGGCCAGCAGAAGGUCGGCCAGGGCCAGCUGGAGCAGGUGGGCAGAAGUGGGCGAACGGACAGCACGUCGGGCUGCCAGGUGGGUGGCCAGGACCAGGCCAUUGCCGGCCAGACCCAGUGCAGCCACUGCCAGGGAGACACUGGGUUGGAAGGCCCGACUGAAGGCCUGGACAUCCGCCUUGUAGCAGAGUUCUGGCAAUGGCUCAGCCGAGUAUGCCUCCUCAUCAUACCCAGAGUAGGGGCUCCAGGAGACCUGGGGAGGUCAAAAUGAGAGGAGAGACCUUAUGAGACACCUCCCACACACCUCCCCUUCCCACACAUACCUUCCAAGCUGGGAGCUUCUGUGACCGUUGUGCAGAGGGAGAAGAUACAAACUCUUCUCCAAACUCUUCCUAGCACACCCUCCCAACAGGUCUUGGCUUCCACUGCACCCCUCCUGCCUCUGCAUGCAGCUUCCUGGCUGACCUUGACCUGUCUGUAUCUCAGUUGCCUAAUAUGUAAUGUUGAGAUUAGAAACCCUGACCAGCCCAAGCGGCAGAGUUGUUUGAAAUAAGGAAGAGGUAAUGGAUGUGAAGCACCUGGGCUCUCCAUGAGCCAAGGUUUCUGUCACUAAUAGAUCUUGGGGAUUCAGUUCUGUUUGCAGCGCCCUCUCCUGGAAGAACACCUACAUUCAGGCUUUGCCUCAGGGCUGGUCCCUGGACUCCAGGCAUGGUGUGGAGAGGGUUUCUA